AUUGCUUAUUCUUUCUCAGUCUUAGGGCACAAUAUUGAUAAUCAUGAAGAAAUAAAUCACCAAAAAAGAAAGAAAAAAAGUAACCAAGUUUUGAACUAAGAUAUCAUAUAAGUUUUGAGAACUCUUUGGAGAUAAACCACAUACAUGGGUGGUGCACCAAAAGAGGGCAAAUUGUGCGGAAGUAGAUGGACCUACCUAAGCUGAGUGCAUAUUCUAUGUAUGUGGUGCACCAAAAGAGGGCAAAUUGUGCGGAAGUAGAUGGACCUACCUAAGCUGAGUGCAUAUUCUUAUUUAGAGCGUUCCGAAAUCUAAGAAAAAGAAUUCAACUAAUAGGUGCUAGGUGAGCUGGAGAUUCUUAUUAGUGUAAGAUAGCUCUAGCCUCAUUCUUUAGGGGAAUGUAUGAGUCAGUGAGGCGGGCCACAACCGAAAGUAGUAAGCUAUUCAAGACAUGGUAGAUGUUCUUAAAAAAGAAAGCGGACUCGCGUCUGAGCCGACUACUACGACUACAUGUGCAUCUAGUGUAGUUUUAGCUUCAACAUAUUGAAUCAGCUUAAAUGCUUCUCUGGUAUCUAAUCCUAUCAUGGUUUUAAUUCAAAUACUCAUCACAACAAAACAGCUCACAGUGAAACUUGAAACCAAUCAUUUACUUCAAGUCGAAGUUCUAAUUUCAUUACCACCAUCUUUCUCU